CAAGUCGAACGCGAAAGGAGGGGCAACCCUCCGAGUAGAGUGGCGAACGGGUGAGUAAUACAUCGGAACGUGUCCAGUAGCGGGGGAUAACCUCUCGAAAGAGAGGCUAAUACCGCAUACGACCUACGGGUGAAAGAGGGGGAUCGCAAGACCUCUCACUAUUGGAGCGGCCGAUGUCGGAUUAGCUAGUUGGCGGGGUAAAAGCCCACCAAGGCGACGAUCCGUAGCUGGUCUGAGAGGACGGCCAGCCACACUGGAACUGAGACACGGUCCAGACUCCUACGGGAGGCAGCAGUGGGGAAUUUUGGACAAUGGGCGCAAGCCUGAUCCAGCCAUGCCGCGUGAGUGAAGAAGGCCUUCGGGUUGUAAAGCUCUUUCGGCUGGGACGAAAAGGUCUGUGUUAACACCACGGAUCCAUGACGGUACCAGCAGAAGAAGCACCGGCUAACUACGUGCCAGCAGCCGCGGUAAUACGUAGGGUGCAGGCGUUAAUCGGAAUUACUGGGCGUAAAGCGUGCGCAGGCGGUUUGCUAAGACAGGUGUGAAAUCCCCGGGCUUAACCUGGGAACUGCGCUUGUAACUGGCAAGCUAGAGUGUGGCAGAGGGGGGGUGGAAUUCCACGUGUAGCAGUGAAAUGCGUAGAGAUGUGGAGGAACACCGAUGGCGAAGGCAGCCCCCUGGGCUAACACUGACGCUCAUGCACGAAAGCGUGGGGAGCAAACAGGAUUAGAUACCCUGGUAGUCCACGCCCUAAACUAUGUCAACUGGUUGUCGGGGAAGCAAUUCCUUGGUAACGAA
rnacentral:rRNA from 1 species